rnacentral:rRNA from 1 species
AGCGAACGCUGGCGGCAGGCCUAACACAUGCAAGUCGAACGAAGUCUUCGGACUUAGUGGCGGACGGGUGAGUAACACGUGGGAACGUGCCUUUAGGUUCGGAAUAACUCAGGGAAACUUGUGCUAAUACCGAAUGUGCCCUUCGGGGGAAGGAUUUAUCGCCUUUAGAGCGGCCCGCGUCUGAUUAGCUCGUUGGUGAGGUAAAGGCUCACCAAGGCUACGAUCAGUAGCUGGUCUGAGAGGAUGACCAGCCACAUUGGGACUGAGACACGGCCCAAACUCCUACGGGAGGCAGCAGUGGGGAAUCUUGCGCAAUGGGCGAAAGCCUGACGCAGCCAUGCCGCGUGGAUGAUGAAGGUCUUAGGAUUGUAAAAUCCUUUCACCGGUGAAGAUAAUGACUGUAGCCGGAGAAGAAGCCCCGGCUAACUUCGUGCCAGCCGCCGCCGUAAUAC